rnacentral:lncRNA from 1 species
UUUAAUGGAGUUUCAAACUUUUCGAAAAAGUUUAUAAGAACGCUAUAUAAUCCUGCUGCAGAACCAUUUGCAACAGGUAGCAGAGUUACAAACGUAUCAUUUAUUUUAAAAUUUUCUGCAAAUCUGACAACUAUUGCUAAAUUUUUUACGUAACUAUAACGGUUGAUACUAUGCGCAUUUUGACUCGCGAGCUCCGCGGGGAGAGCGGGUGUCCGGAGGGUUGAAGGUGGGGGGAGCGGGAGAGGGAGAAUCCGCGCUCGCCGCCAUUGCCAGAACACGCCCAUUGUGACCACCGCAGCUAUCGCCGCGGUGCUCGCGCUCUCUCUCUAUUGCGAAUCUAUCUCUCUCACCCAUACGCGAUAUCUCCAACUGUACGCCCAUACAGUCUCAUCAUUCCGGCUCUUUCUCUUUCCAUUGCGUUCCCUCUUUCAUAGUCUUCCAAUCACGUAUAUGCGUUCCCACCCAUCUCACCUUAUCUAUGUACUUCCUACCUAGUUCUUCACACGCCAUUAUAACGCAAAGGAAUAGAGAAGAGAGAAAAUAAAUUAGAAUAAUUAUUUAUAAAAUUUUUUUCACUUAUUCAUUUCGUAACGCGUCGUAUACAAUAUUUCUGAUGCAUAAGCCAUCAGUUUGCAAUCUACGAGCAAAGUUUUUACACACACUGAGAAAAAUAUCCAGCAGUUUUAAUCAGAAAAAACCGUUCAAACACUUUAUCUGGUUGGUUUUGAAUGGAUUUAGGGCUAUUCGAUAAAAUAAAAGAUGUCUUUAUCCGAUGAAAUAUACUUUUCGAUAAAAUAUGAACGGAUAACGAGGUGCAAUUUAUUUAUCCAUUUAAAUUCAUACAAUAUAAUCGGACAUUGUACUUGAUCGGAUAAAAACAGGGUAUUUUCAAUCAAGCUAAAUAUCCGAUCUAAUGUACUACAUCCGAUUAAAAUAUAUUCGAUAAAAUAUGAUCUCCGUUCAGAAGUCCGAUAAAAUAUAUGCGUGCGCGCCAGUCAGACGUGCACGAGCACCACAAGCCUCUACAAUCUCUACAUUGUGUGUACGAUACAGCGUGUGUGCGUGCGUGUGUGUGUGCGUACGUGUGUGUGUGUGUGUGUGUGUGUGUGUGUGUGUGUGUGUGUGUGUGUGUGUGUGUGUGUGUGUGUGUGUGUGUGUGUGUGUGUGUGUGUGUGUGAGACUCAAUAUUAUAUUAUUGUGACAUUAUAAGCAGAAGUGAGCCUAUAAACAUGAACAGAGAUACAUUUAGAUCUGUUCUUGAAGAACUAUACUGCGAAAUAGAAGUGAUACAAAUUCUCGUUGGUAGGUAAUACCUGUUUCUCAUACGCAUGUUUCAUAUAUAUGCAUUUUAUUACUUUCCCUUUUUAUAAAACUUUAUACGAAAGAAAAAGAAACUUUAAAUUAUGAGCUACUUAAAUAUUUUAUUACAUUUUAUAUUAUUCCUAAAAUGAUAAACCUAUUUUUCUAACCUCAAACAUCACACUAGGUGAUAAAUGUACCGCAAAUUUCCUUUCCAAGUGUUCUGUAAGCAAUGCAUUCUCUUGAAGAUGGAUUGGAAUUAAUAUUCUGCUAUGUAAAUCUCUUCGGUUUUUCAUAACAAAGACGAUGAUAUCCAUGUUUGAGGUCAUAAAAAAUAUGUUUACGUCCUAGGGUUAAUGUAUUAUACAUAUAGUCUUGAUCAAUAUUAUGAGGCAUCCUAUUAAAGUUUCCAAAAUAACUUCUAUGUUAUUUACGUUAUUUUAAAGAAACUAUAUUUUAAUACAGUGUCUCAUAAAUUUAGUCAAGUCUGUGUGUUAUGUUCUUGUGCGCGUUUACCGUUUGUAAAUACCAUUUUUUAUACGCGAUUUUUAGACGAAGAUAUAAUAAUUCAAGAUCUUGAAACUUUAAAAAAAGUAGAGCUUGAUGAUCUAAAAAAUGUGGUCAGAAAAGAAGGUAAAAUUUUGGUAUAAUAGAUGUUAAACCGUAGUCUCCUAUAGACCCAGAACUUUUGAUGGUAAUGUACACAUUUUUCUUUUUAUAUAUUUUUUAAAAUUAUUUUCUCCAUAUUUUAUAUUGUUUAUCAUUUCUUUAUAGUUGAAAAAUAUUAAUUUUUAUUACACACACAUUAAUUACACAAGCAUGAAUCUAAACAAUGAAAUGCUAAAGAAAUAAGAAUAUUUUUUAUAACUACAUUUUAUUCAAAUCUUAAAUUUAUCGUUUCUUAUUCCUUAAAAAAUUUUUUCAUUAUAUUCAAUAUCAAAAUUAAAACAUAUAUUUAAAUAUUCUUUUACAUUUUUAUUUGGUAUACUUAAUAGAUAUUACAAUUUUGCUACAUUUUUAUUUUUGGUAAAUAAUAUGAAAUAUAAAUAAAUUAAAAGAUUAAUUCAUUAAUUUUUAUUACAUAUACAUAGAAAUUGCCAAGGAAAUUGCUAAUAUGUAUAAACAAAAAAAUUCUGGAUCCAUUGUCUAUAUAAGUGUAACUGUAAAUAUUCAAAAUAACUGAUAAUAACUGUAAAUACUCAAAAUUAAUUUCUUUCAAAAGUUAUCGCUAUUGCAUUUAUGUAGUUAUUUCAUAUUUGAUUUAUUUUGAAUUAUAAUAUUUUAAACUUUGUUAUAUAAUUUUAUAAGUGACGCAAAUGUUAAAUUGUUUUUAAUAAAGUUGAUAAAUCAGAAAAGCUGUAUUUUUCUUUUUUUCUAGGCAUUUUAUAACGUGCAAUCUGCACAAGCAAAAAUCAUUUAUGAACAGAAGAGCUCUAAUGAAGUCUCACUGCCCACUAGCGACAGCAAUAGCAAUAUUUCUUUUUUAACAACGGAUUUCCCGUUUUCAUUGUCACAUUCGCCAACCAACGAGGAAAGCAGUGUAGAAACACUUCAAAUUCCUUUCAAAAUAAAUGCUGGAGACUGUCUUGAUAAACAUACUUCAGUUGAAGCAAAUUUAGAAAAAGAAGUAUCAAAGCUGGACGAUAAUAUUCUAGAUUUGAUAGAUGUUAGAUCAGUAAAAGCUCCGUUUAAAGAAUUAGAUAAAAACGCUCAGCAGACACAAUUAGUAAUUUUUCAAGAACAAUUGCAAUCAAAAAAUCCAUUGUUUAUCUUAUUACUAAAAAACAAACUUCAUACUCAAGAACCAUUCUCAACAUGAUGAAUUGAUACCAGAAUGGCACGACAUUAAUUUAAUUGUGGGCGCAGUUUCAAAGAUAUCGAUAUCCUGUUUCUACAACUAUAAAUAUAAGUCAUCUCAACGGAGGGACGGAACUGU